rnacentral:rRNA from 1 species
GACGAACGCUAGCGGCGUGCUUAACACAUGCAAGUCGAACGGGCCUUGUCCCCUUUUUUUUUGGGGGUGGGGUUAGUGGCGAACGGGUGAGUAACACGUGAGUAACCUGCCCCUCACUUCUGGAUAACCGCUUGAAAGGGUGGCUAAUACGGGGUGUUCUGGCCUGCUCGCAUGGGUGGGUUUGGAAAGAUUCGACCGGUUUUGGUUGUUUUGGUGGGGGAUGGGCUCGCGGCCUAUCAGCUUGUUGGUGGGGUGAUGGCCUGCCAAGGCUUUGACGGGUAGCCGGCCUGAGAGGGUGGGCGGUCACACUGGGACUGAGACACGGCCCAGACUCCUACGGGAGGCAGCAGUGGGGAAUAUUGCACAAUGGGCGCAAGCCUGAUGCAGCGACGCCGCGUGAGGGAUGGAGGCCUUCGGGUUGUGAACCUCUUUCGCCAGUGAAGAAGGUCCUGCUCUUUGUGGUGGGGUUGACGGUAGCUGGGUUAAUGAAGCGCCGGCUAACUACGUG